UUGCCUACGGGAGGCAGCAGUGAGGAAUAUUGGUCAAUGGCCGCAUGGCUGAACCAGCCAAGUCGCGUGAGGGAAGACGGCCCUAUGGGUUGUAAACCUCUUUUGUCAGGGAGCAAAGGGCGCCACGUGUGGCUCAUUGCGAGUACCUGAAGAAAAAGCAUCGGCUAACUCCGUGCCAGCAGCCGCGGUAAUACGGAGGAUGCGAGCGUUAUCCGGAUUUAUUGGGUUUAAAGGGUGCGCAGGCGGA
rnacentral:rRNA from 1 species